GUCCUAGCUGUAAACGAUGCACAUUAGACGUGAGGGUAUCGACCCCUUCGUGUCGACGCAAACGCAUUAAAUGUGCCGCCUGGGGAGUACGGCCGCAAGGUUGAAACUCAAAGGAAUUGACGGGGCCCGCACAAGCGGUGGAGCAUGUGGUUUUCAAUUCGACGCAACGCGAAGAACCUUACCUGGGUUUGAACUACUAGAAGUAAAACUGAUGAAAGUCGGGAUGACCUGUAAAGUCAGGAGCUAGCAGAGGUGCUGCAUGGCUGUCGU
rnacentral:rRNA from 1 species